rnacentral:tRNA from 1 species
UGUCUGAGAUGGUAAGGAAUCCGCCUGUAAUGCGGAAAUCCUGGGUUUGAUCCCCGG